rnacentral:piRNA from 1 species
UNCCCAGUGAGAGCCAGUUCCUACAGG